UACGAAGGGGGCUAGCGUUGUUCGGAUUUACUGGGCGUAAAGCGCACGUAGGCGGUUUGUUAAGUCAGGGGUGAAAUCCCACAGCUCAACUGUGGAACUGCCUUUGAUACUGGCAAGCUAGAGUCCGGAAGAGGUAGUGGAACUCCUAGUGUAGAGGUGGAAUUCGUAGAUAUUAGGAAGAACACCAGUGGCGAAGGCGG
rnacentral:rRNA from 1 species